rnacentral:misc_RNA from 1 species
UAAUAGUGUUUAACUCAAGCACUUUUAAUCCAUAUCCACUACUUGCUCGGGGCAAUGCUCAGGUCGAGCUCAUUCCCCCUUUGGGGAGGAUCCGACGCAGACCCUUCAACCCUGUUAUCUUAGACUCUUGUCUGAAAUAUUACCUGAAUAAAGCAAUUCAAAUA